rnacentral:other from 2 species
AUCCCUGCGUAGUGCGUGCAGAAUGAAAUUUUAGAACCAACAAGUUUUAAAAGGGAGUCCGCCUUUGAAUGUGGCGUGUAUGCUUAAACAAUUUUUUUAAGAAACCCAGGAGCAUUCAACAAGACACCCACCUACGAGAGUAGGUCCUUAAAAUUUCUAUCAUCUUACGGCUAAGGCGGGGUUU